UACAGGAGGGCGCGAGCGUUGUCCGGAAUCACUGGGCGUAAAGGGCGCGUAGGCGGCUUGAUAAGCGUGCGGUGAAAGCCCGGGGCUCAACCCCGGGUCGGCCGUGCGAACUGUCGAGCUGGAGCACUGUAGAGGCAGGUGGAAUUCCGGGUGUAGCGGUGGAAUGCGUAGAGAUCCGGAAGAACACCGGUGGCGAAGGCGGCCUGCUGGGCAGUGGCUGACGCUGAGGCGCGACAGCGUGGGGAGCAAACAGG
rnacentral:rRNA from 1 species